rnacentral:tmRNA from 1 species
GGGGGUGACUGGUUUCGACUUUGUGCGCAGCGUUAGGGGAAGCGAGCCGAGGAAGCCGACGUUGUCUCGCGAAUCAGUCGUCGGAAAACAAUAAGCGCCAAUUUCAAGCGCUCCGAUCUCGCUCUUGCUGCCUAAGUAAGGGAUGAGAUCUGUCGGUCUGGGAUUGCCUUCGGCCCAGUAACCGGCAUCAGCUAGAAGGCUGGCCAAUCGAGCCUCGUCGCGGGGCUCGUGCGGUGAGACUAAUCGCGACUGGGCCCGUCAUACCGACUCGCUCGCGUGAUCGGUAGGGCCGAGUAGAGGCACAGCGAGCUGCGCUCGGAGAAGUCCUAACAAAGCGACGAAGGACCCGGGUUCGAUUCCCGGCACCUCCACCA